CUGGCGGCCGAACAAGCUCUCGUGAUGGCGGAUUUCAUGGCGACGGAGCAGGUUGUUGAGGAGCUGGCGGCGGUGGCUCAGCGGCGGCAGAAAGAGGAGAGCUCUCCCGCGGCUUCGGAGCUGUCAACUGGGAAGAUGAACCCCCGGCCUCCUAGAUGGAACAAAAGAAAAGGCUACGCAUUCGAGCUGCAGCCCCUAGCAGAGCACCUUGUCUGAACCGCGUUAGUGCAUUUGAGAAGGCUGGCAGGAGUUUUGCCGAGAACCCAACUGAGAGUGUUAUUACCCCAGUUGUUGGCACUACAUUUGACUCAGUGGGUGAGGCAUACGACUACUACAAUUUUUACUCGUGGGAGAAAGGAUUUGGUAUUCGAUACGGUAAGAGCCGCCUGAAUGUCAAGAGGACAAAAUGCACGCAAGAAAUAGUUUAUGGAUGCUCGUGAGUACAAAAUUUUGCUAGUGUUACUGCUUCGAUAGUCCCAAUUUAGUUGGGGUUGUCAUAACAUUCGACACGACAUGCAGGACCAACCUAUAUGACAUACCUUUCGGCCUUUUUGUUGGGGUUAACAAUCACUUUCAGAGCAUGAUCCUGGCUGGUGUUCUUGUUCGCGAUGAGACCCAAGUGAGUUUCGAGUUUUUUUUUCAGAAUUCCUAAGAAUGAUAGGUGGUUCUCCACCCAUGACCAUACUCAAAGACGAAAACCGUGCCAUGGAGCUGGCUAUCAAAAACAUUAUGCCGGGGACAACACACAGAUGGUGUAAAUGGCACGUCCUGAAUAAAGCAAGAGUCAUUGGGUGCUCUGUAACAAAGAAGAGCGAUUUCAGGGCUGAAUUUUAUAAAGUGAUAAACCAUAUGCUGAAAGAAGAUGAAUUUGAGAAAGGGUAGGAAAUGUUGCUGGACAAAUACAAGCUAAGGGCACACCCAUACAUGACGCAGCUGUUUGAGAUUCAGAAGAAAUGGGCUAAACCUUAUUUUAAGGGUGUUUUUGUGCAAAGAUGACCAGCACACAGAGGAGUGAGAGCGCGAACCAUAUGCUGAAAAAUUAUGUGCCUCCUGGGUGCCCAAUGCACAUGUUUGUGCAGAAGUACACAAGGCUACAAUUCGACCGGGAAUCGGAGAACUAUGAAGAAAAAGAAUGUGAAUUGGAGGCCACUCAUGAGGGCAAACCUGGCAGUGGAGAGGCAUGCUAGCAAGAUAUAUACAAGGGCCAUGUUCCAACAGUUUGGGCAUAUAUUGUACAAUGUGGAGCUUAUCAGGUGGAAGAGGUCGAGAAACACAAGACAUAUCAUGCAAUCCAUAGUGAAGCAGAAAAGAGAGAGAAGUGGUGCAGAUGUCAUACAAGGUAACUACACAAUGUGCAGAUGAAGGGCUGGGAAGAUCCCUCUGAGAUGGUUUGGCUAUGCUACCACCACCGGACGGAGCUGCUAGAACGAAGAUUUUGCUGUGUUCCUUGACGAUGACUGCUCCGCGGCGGAGCGCUUGGAGCGGGCAUAGCACACAGUGGAGUGGUGGCAUAACUACACGAUGUGUGCAGUGGCAUGAGGGCCAGCAAAAAAACAUUUGAAAAUUAAGCGGCACUACCAUGAGAUAUGACCAGCACUUACUGAUGUGCCACUGUAAGAUGUGACCGGCUUUCCAACAUCAGUAGCCAUGGUUGGCAUCCUCCGCAUUUUCUUGUUGAACAUCCCAAGGGCGAGGUUGUCCAGCAGGAAUAUUUGUGAGUGCAACAGUUUGUUAGCUCCCAAAACAUGAAAGUAACUAGUGUCAUGAAUUUGGGGCCUCCAUACACAGUAUUACCUGGAGAAACAAGUAGCAUCCGACUAAGUUGGUGGCGGGGUUGCCUGACCGGAUAUUAUUAUUUAGCCUCCUAACACCAGCGAGCAGGCAUUGAAUCACAUACUCACACCAGUUGAACUGCUUAAUCGUCUCAGUAUUAGCCAGUGUUCCCUAGAAAUCAAUAAUGUCAUAUCAUGCUUUCUGAAAAUUUCAGUAUCUUGUUCUCUGCCAGGACAAUGGUGCAGCGGGUGGUGCUUACCUUACUCAUUGUCCAUGCACUGAAUUUCAGGUUUAGUUUCUGCAGCAUUUGAAGGUCAAGCAUACCACCAAACCCAAUGCUCGUAACAAGAAAUCGCUUGAACUCAUUGAAUGUCCAGAUGACAUCGACAACGUGCUUGACAGAUAUACGAGAGGUUGGUGCUGGGGGCACGGCUGGGUCACUGCUCUGUCCUGAAUCUUGGCUAGCUGCCUGCAGGUUCUCGUCGCCCAUCUCUCCCUCACAGCUGCCUCCAACUGACAUUUUAUGCUGCAGCAUUGGUGGAAAAAAAUAAGCCUGGUAUUGUGGACUAAAAAAUAUAAACCUGGGAUUCAGACUUUCAGAGAAUUCAAAAAACAUAUUGCCUUUUCUCUGAUAUACAGUUAUCAAAUGGAUCCUAUAUAAAAUUCCGGUGCUUUCCACAACUGAAUCCAAUACACAAUGCAUGUGUAGACAGUGUGGAUUUGAAAGUUCUGAAACUUUUUAUUCCUAGAGACUGAAACUAGAAAUAUAGUUCUGAACUGAAGUUUCAGACUGAAUCAAUGUCGCCCUAUGCAUGUAAGGUAAAAUGGAUCAUGUAGGACAGUGUUGCUGCAUUGCAAAAACUGGAUGUAAUAUAUAUGAAUCAAUAAAACAUUAUGGACUUGUAAUGA